GUGAGGAAUUUUGCGCAAUGGGGGCAACCCUGACGCAGCAACGCCGCGUGAGUGAAGAAGGCCUUUGGGUCGUAAAGCUCUGUCAACCGGGAAGAAGUUAUGAGAGUCGAACAGGCUUUUGUAUUGACGGUACCGGUGAAGGAAGCAUCGGCUAACUCCGUGCCAGCAGCCGCGGUAAUACGGGGGAUGCAAGCGUUAUUCGGAAUUAUUGGGCGUAAAGGGCGCGUAGGCGGUUUUGUCGGUCAGAUGUGAAAGCCCAGGGCUCAACCCUGGACGUGCAUUUGAAACAGCAAGACUUGAGUACGGGAGAGGAAAGCGGAAUUCCUGGUGUAGAGGUGAAAUUCGUAGAUAUCAGGAGGAACACCGAUGGCGAAGGCAGCUUUCUGGACCGAUACUGACGCUGAGGCGCGAAGGCGUGGGUAGCGAACAGGAUUAGAAACCCUUGUAGUCC
rnacentral:rRNA from 1 species